GCAAAUGGUUUACUUCCAUCUGUCAGGAUCCACUAUUAAUACAGAGAGGGGGUCGUGAUGGUUCGUUUGAUCUCAGAGGUGCAAACAGGCAAAUGGCAGGGGACAAAAUCAGUUUAUUCAACAACAGCAAUGCAUUUUUAUUAAUGCCAACAACUCAGUUGCAAUAGAGGGGAGAGAUAAAGGAAACAGA